UGAACUCAAGUCCUCCUGAAUCCAGGGCUGGUGCUCUAUCCACUGGUGCCAUCUAGCUGCCCCAAGAAAUUAUAUUUAGACUAACACCCCACACCUUAUAAUAAGAUAAGCUCCAAAUGGGUAUGUGACCUAGAUACAAAAGGUCACAUCAUGAGUAAAUUAAAGAAACAUGGAUAAAUUACCUAUUAAAUCCAUAGAUAGAAAAGUUCAUGACCAAACUAGGGAUAGACAAUCAUAGAAGGUAAAAUCAAUAAUUUUUAUUAUAUAAACUUAAAAAGGUUAUACACAAACAAAUUCAAUAAAACUAAGUUUAAAAGGGAAACAGAAAACUAAGAAAAUCUUUGCAGCAAGUUUCUCUGGUAAAGGUCUCAUUUCUGAUAUCGAAAAGGAACUAAUUCAAAUUUAUAAGAAGAGCUAUUCUCCAACUGUUAAAUGGUCUCAAGAUUUCAAAAGGCAGUUCUCAAGGGAAGAAUCUUAGGAUCCUGAUAGCUAAAUGAAAAAACAAUGCUCCAAAUUGCUACUAAUUUGUGAAAUGGAAAUUAAAAGAAUUCUGAGAUUUCACUUCUCCCUCCUCAAAUCUUUGUAAUCUGGGUUCCAUUCUCACCACACUAAUGAAACUACUUUUGAGGAUAAAAAUGAUUUAAUGGCUAUGUCCAAUGACUAUUUUUCAAUCCUCAUUGUCUUCUACCUCUGCAGACACUUUUUGGCUUUCAUCCCUUUGCUUCUGUGACAUUUCACUCUAUGGUACUCAAUAUUUUUUAUUUUAAUUUCUCAGCCUCUUUGGAUAUUCCCUUUCUCCAAUUCCUCAAAUAUUAAUGUCUCCCAAGGAUCUAUCCUUGAUCUCCUUUUCUUCUAUCUUUACUAUUUCUCUCUCUUAGGGAGCUACUUUCCUCCCUUUGCUUUAAAGAUCAUUAGUAUGUAAAUGGUUUCCAAAUCUGAAUUUGCACUUUCCAACAUCUCCCCAGAGUUUCAGACUCAUAUUUCCAAUCAGCUGCUGAAUUUUUCCAAUUAGGUGAUGCAACAGGAUCAUUAAAAUCUACAUCUCCCGAAUGGAAUUCACUUUGCCCCAAUUUCCUAGACCCUGCUCCAUCAUUUCUUAACUUGAAUUGAGAGUGGCACUGUCAUUUUAGUCCAACUUGGUUGAAAACUCAGUCAUUUUUGACUUUUCCUUGUUUUUGACUUUUCCUAUCCAAUAAAUUGUGAAAUCUGGCCAAUUCUUCUUCUGCAACAUUUAGAUGUUUUUUCCUUCCUUUCCACUUCACAGAAUCAUAGAAUCUCCUCUGUAAAAGGACAGGAUUAGACUCAAUGGCCUCUAAAGUCUCUCCUAGGCCUAAAUAUAUGAUCCUAUGAAAUCUAAUUUAUAUUAUGUACUGGCAUGGUGGUAGGUGUUGGAGAUAAUAAAGACAAAAAUGAAAGAGUUUCUAUAGGGAACUUAAGACAAUGAUUUUGACUGCUAGCUUAGGUUUGUUGUUGUGCUUUCCCUCACUUUUAGCUCAUUUGCAUGGGAGAAUAAAGGAAUUUUAGAAUUGGGGAAGUAGAGUUUGGGGGACCUCAAACUCUAGAGUCCAGUAGAAGUCUGGAGGAGUAGCCUGUAAAAGCUAAAGCCAAAAGGUAUAGUUUAGUUAUCAGAAAUUAAACUGGAUUUUACAUGGACUUCCAGACUCAAAAUCAGACAGAAACUUUUGAGAGAGGAUUUGUUCUUGGUGGUCAAGAAAUACUAGUGAAAAAAUAUAUUUAAGCCUGAAGGCACCCAUAGGUUUGAUCACAUCAUUCCUCUAAUCAAAAUCUCUCAUUGGCUCUCCAUUGCUAACAGAUUAAAAUGCUAAUACUAGUAUUUGAGGCCAUUCAUAAUCUGGAGGCAUUCCUCUCCUUCUUAAUCUCACAAUAUUUUGUUUAAUAUACUCCAUAUUCCAGAUAAACUGUAUUAGUCACUGUUAUGUUCUUGCCUGCACUAUCUUGUCUUUGUCUCAUGUCUUAAGACCUGGAAAGGCUCAUGCUAUCCCCUAUGUUUGGAAUAGACUCCUUCUUUUUCACUUUAUUUCCUUCAUUUAAACCCCAUCUAAGGUACUACCUCCUCCAUAGUUCUCUCCUUUCCCCAAAACCUUUUAUAAUGUCAAGUACACAGUAGGCAUUCCCAGACAGAAGUGAUUUUUUUCUUCUUCAUACUUCUCACAGUGAUCUUGCUUAAGUCACUUUAACUCUUUGUGUUUUGUUUCUUCAUCUAAAAUGUGAAAAGAUUAGAUGAUAAAUGAAUAAAAAAUAAUUUAUUAAAUGUUUACUAUGGGAAUUGAUGAGGUCACUAAGGAAGAGUAUAGAUAAGAGAUGAGGGUCCAGGAAAGAAUCUUAGAGAAUAGCUACAGUUAGGGCAUAUGAUCUGGAUGAUGAGCUGAGGAGUGGUUAGACAGAUAGAAAGAGAACCAAUAUGGUAUCAUGAAAACCAAGAAGGGGGGAAAAUGUUCAGGAGAAGAGGGUGGUCAACAAUGUCAAAUGUGUUAGUGUGGUCAAGAAGGAUGGAGACUGAGAAAAUACCAUUAGAUUUAGGAAUUAAGAGAUCAUUACUAGCUUUGGAUUGAGCACUUGCAGUUGAGUGAUGAGGUUGGAAGCCAUAUUACAAAUGAUUUUGGAGUGAGUGACAAAAGAGGAAGUUGAAGCAAUGAGUGUACACAGCUUUUUAAAAGAGUACAGCUACUAAAAGAGUAGAGAUACAGGAUGAUCGCUUGAGGGGAUAGUAAGGUUUAAUUGAGUUUUUUCCCAAUAAAUUUUUAUUGUUAUCAUUUGGUUUUUUUUACAUAACCAAAAUUUCUCCUAGCAUUCCUCCUCUUCCCCUUCCAGAGAGAAAUCCAUACAACAAAUAACAUUUAAGAAGGAAGAAAGAAAAAGAGGAAGAGACAAAAAUAAGAAAAGCUGAUUAAUAAUUUUCUUAAAUCUAAAAAUGUAUGCAAUGUACCAUUCCCAUUGACUUACUACCUCUGCAAAGAAGUGGGGUGGAAGUGUUGUGAAAAAAAUUCUUUUUUUUAAGGUGAGGGAGAUGACAUGUUUGGAGGAAGUACAAAAGGAACCACUAAAUAGGGACAGACUGAAGAUUAAAGAGAUAGAAGGAAUGAUUGAGGGGAAAAUCUGCUGAAGAAGAUGGAAGAGGAUGGAGUCAGGGAUAUAUAGAGAAGAUAGUCUAGGCAGGAUCAUGUCAUUUUUAGACAUUGUGAGAAAGGAAGAGAAUGAGAGAUAGAGGUUUUCAAGAUGAAGAGAAGGGGAGAAGGAGUUAAACAGGAAUUACCUUAACUUUUUCAGCAAAGUUAAGUGGUAAGGUUUGCCAAUGAGAGACUGGGAGGAGGGGGAGAUGUGAGGAGAGUAGAGAAGGGUUGAGAUCAUUUUUUUAGGGGAGUGAUAUUGGGAAUCAAGGAGGAAUCAAAGGACUGUCUUGCUGCAGUGAGGACAGAGGUAGGAUAACAUGAAUUCAUAGUGUGCUCAUCAUGGCUGUAAUUUCCUCUAGCUCUGUUCAGCAGCUAGAAGGAACAUGGUGAGAGCAAUUGAGGGCUGAAGUUUACCCAGGAUGUGUGGUGAUAGAACAAAGUGGCAAGUGAUUCAAGAGUUGAUGAUGGUAUGGAGUUGAAUUGGUUAAUUUUAUAGUUAAGUUUAGGAAGGGAGGAAAGUGAAGUCAGAACAAUGGUAAUAGUUUGAAAAAGAAUGACAGGUGGAGGUAUUGAAGGUUGAGGUGAAGGUGGAGAAUAGGUCCAGGAGGAUGAGGCAUAGGGAGAAAUGGAAUAAUGAGUUCAUCAUCAGAUGAGGAGUUGUCAGAAGGAAGUAGAACAGUUGAGGGUGAUCCAGGGUGUGACCAUCCCUGUGUGGAGCUGACUUGGAAAGAAGGAGCAGGUCAAGAGAUUUGAAACUGAGGAAUUGGAUAGAGAGUUUGAAGGAGAAUCGAUAUGCAUAAAGGUGGAAGUUGGAGAUGAAAAAGUUAGCAAGUCAGGUACUAAACUCCUAGGGAAAGGAAGGGGAAUAACCUAAGAGUAGUUGGCAACAGCCAACAUGAUUCAAAUAGAGUGAGGAUGAUGCUGUGAACUUUGAAGAAGAUAAAGAUGUUGCUGAGCAACGACAACAAAAGGAGAAUCUAGAAGUGGCAAUGGGAAACUAGGAGCAUUCCAGCUUCUCCCUAGGACUAGUAUGUUGGGAAAGGGAAGAACAGUAAAAGUAUAGUCAGUAUUGGAGAGGAUAACUAGGGAUGUAGUGUCAUUUGGGAAAAGCAAAAUCUCAGUGAGGGAAAUAGUUGGAAGCAAUGCAAGGGAAAAAGGUUCACGAUGCAGAAAAGUUUGGUCACUAUAGAGCAGGAAGUCAAGGGGCAUAGUGGAAGGGAUGGGCAUAAUUAGAGUGGGUCAUGAUAGAAAAAGAGUUGAGAAGAAUUGGGAUAAGUGACUAGAAAGUGGGGAUUGGGUAUAGUUUGUUCUUAGGUGAGCAACGAUUAACACAGGGAUAGAAAAAGAAACAUGAUAGGAUCUUGUUAAUCAUAGGAUAGCAGUGGAUGACAGAUGAAUAAUAAUGCUCAUAGUCUCCAAGGGCUAUGAAAGGGCAAGGGGUAUGGAACUUUGUUCAUUCUGCUUGCUUCGCCUAGCAACAGAGUGGGAUGGGUAGGUUAUGGACAGUGGUGCAACCUGGUUCUGCCCCCCAUCCUCACUCCCAGCUGGCAGAUGUGCUGCCUUUGGAUAGAUAUAUUUUAUU